AGUAACGCGUGGGUAACCUGCCUCAUACAGGAGGAUAACAGUUAGAAAUGACUGCUAAUACCGCAUAAGCGCACAGAAUCGCAUGAUUCGGUGUGAAAAACUCCGGUGGUAUGAGAUGGACCCGCGUCUGAUUAGCUAGUUGGUGGGGUAAAGGCCUACCAAGGCGACGAUCAGUAGCCGACCUGAGAGGGUGAUCGGCCACAUUGGGACUGAGACACGGCCCAAACUCCUACGGGAGGCAGCAG
rnacentral:rRNA from 1 species